UACGUAGGGGGCAAGCGUUGUCCGGAUUUAUUGGGCGUAAAGAGCGUGUAGGCGGCCAGACAGGUCAGCUGUGAAAACUCGAGGCUCAACCUCGAGACGUCGGUUGAAACCGUCUGGCUAGAGUCCGGAAGAGGAGAGUGGAAUUCCCGGUGUAGCGGUGAAAUGCGCAGAUAUCGGGAAGAACACCCGUGGCGAAGGCGGCUCUCUGGGACGUUACUGACGCUGAGACGCGAAAGCGUGGGGAGCAAACAGG
rnacentral:rRNA from 1 species